AUUGAACGCUGGCGGCAGGCUUAACACAUGCAAGUCGAACGGCAGCACAGUAAUCGCUUGCUCUUAGAGGUGCCGACUGGUGAGUGAUAGAGCAGUACAUCCCCAUCUACUUUUUCGUGGGGGACAAAGGAGGGAAUAAUACCCUAUUACCGCUUACGACGUACGCGGGGAAGCAGCGGAUCUCGCGCCCUUGGAGGGGCCGAUGGCCCGAUGGCGGAUUAGCUAGUUGGCGGGGUAAAGGCCCACCAAGGCGACGAUCGGUAGCUGGUCUGAGAGGAUGACCAGCCACACUGGAACUGAGACACGGCCCAGACUCCUACGGGAGGCAGCAGUGGGGAAUAUUGGACAAUGGGCGCAAGCCUGAUCCAGCCAUGCCGCGUGUGUGAAGAAGGCCUUCGGGUUGUAAAGCCCUUUUGGUGGGAACGAAAAGCAGCAUGUUAAUACCCCGCUGUGCUGACGGUACCCAAAGAAUAAGCACCGGCUAACUUCGUG
rnacentral:rRNA from 1 species